GUGGAGUGGUUCAAAGCCUAACUUGACUGAAAUUUCACGAGGAAUCCAUGGGAGGCAUCAAAAGCGGGCUUCGAGAUCGUUCAGCACAAGAAACGAGGCAGAGCAGCUAGGUAGAAACAUAUAAUAUCAAUGGUUUGUUCAUUUGGUCAUAUUUUGAGUUGGGUAGCUCGGAUUUGGGAGAUUGGGAGGUGAUUUUUACCACAUGGAUUGGGUUUCGAGCCGUUUGGAGGUCGGUACACGCGGGAUGGUGUUUUUAGGGUAUUGUUUGGCUUGUCCGGCAUUGAAUUUGGCUUGUUUGAGAUCUUGAAGUUGUUGUUGAUGUACAUGGCGGGAGCUGACAUUGAAGAUGUAUCCGCGUUCCAGUUAUGACUAUCACUUGUCCUUGGUAGCUUUAGAUUCGAAUUCUGUUCACGUACAAUCCAAACAGAUGUUGUAAUUAUUUCAGUUCAAUUUUUGCAAAAUCUAAGUCUUAGUGGCUC